rnacentral:tRNA from 1 species
GCCGGGGUUGCCUAGGGAUUCAUGAGAAUCGGGAAACCAGGUAAGGCGUCGGCUUGCUAAGCCGAUGACCCUUCUGGGUCACGUGGGUUCAAAUCCCACCCCCGGCGCCA